rnacentral:rRNA from 1 species
AACGAACUCUGGUAUUGAUUGGUGCUUGCAUCAUGAUUUACAUUUGAGUGAGUGGCGAACUGGUGAGUAACACGUGGGAAACCUGCCCAGAAGCGGGGGAUAACACCUGGAAACAGAUGCUAAUACCGCAUAACAACUUGGACCGCAUGGUCCGAGUUUGAAAGAUGGCUUCGGCUAUCACUUUUGGAUGGUCCCGCGGCGUAUUAGCUAGAUGGUGGGGUAACGGCUCACCAUGGCAAUGAUACGUAGCCGACCUGAGAGGGUAAUCGGCCACAUUGGGACUGAGACACGGCCCAAACUCCUACGGGAGGCAGCAGUAGGGAAUCUUCCACAAUGGACGAAAGUCUGAUGGAGCAACGCCGCGUGAGUGAAGAAGGGUUUCGGCUCGUAAAACUCUGUUGUUAAAGAAGAACAUAUCUGAGAGUAACUGUUCAGGUAUUGACGGUAUUUAACCAGAAAGCCACGGCUAACUACGUGCCAGCAGCCGCGGUAAUACGUAGGUGGCAAGCGUUGUCCGGAUUUAUUGGGCGUAAAGCGAGCGCAGGCGGUUUUUUAAGUCUGAUGUGAAAGCCUUCGGCUCAACCGAAGAAGUGCAUCGGAAACUGGGAAACUUGAGUGCAGAAGAGGACAGUGGAACUCCAUGUGUAGCGGUGAAAUGCGUAGAUAUAUGGAAGAACACCAGUGGCGAAGGCGGCUGUCUGGUCUGUAACUGACGCUGAGGCUCGAAAGUAUGGGUAGCAAACAGGAUUAGAUACCCUGGUAGUCCAUACCGUAAACGAUGAAUGCUAAGUGUUGGAGGGUUUCCGCCCUUCAGUGCUGCAGCUAACGCAUUAAGCAUUCCGCCUGGGGAGUACGGCCGCAAGGCUGAAACUCAAAGGAAUUGACGGGGGCCCGCACAAGCGGUGGAGCAUGUGGUUUAAUUCGAAGCUACGCGAAGAACCUUACCAGGUCUUGACAUACUAUGCAAAUCUAAGAGAUUAGACGUUCCCUUCGGGGACAUGGAUACAGGUGGUGCAUGGUUGUCGUCAGCUCGUGUCGUGAGAUGUUGGGUUAAGUCCCGCAACGAGCGCAACCCUUAUUAUCAGUUGCCAGCAUUAAGUUGGGCACUCUGGUGAGACUGCCGGUGACAAACCGGAGGAAGGUGGGGAUGACGUCAAAUCAUCAUGCCCCUUAUGACCUGGGCUACACACGUGCUACAAUGGAUGGUACAACGAGUUGCGAACUCGCGAGAGUAAGCUAAUCUCUUAAAGCCAUUCUCAGUUCGGAUUGUAGGCUGCAACUCGCCUACAUGAAGUCGGAAUCGCUAGUAAUCGCGGAUCAGCAUGCCGCGGUGAAUACGUUCCCGGGCCUUGUACACACCGCCCGUCACACCAUGAGAGUUUGUAACACCCAAAGUCGGUGGGGUAACCUUUUAGGAACCAGCC